AGUGAACGCUGGCGGUAGGCCUAACACAUGCAAGUCGAACGGCAGCACAGUAAGAGCUUGCUCUUACGGGUGGCGAGUGGCGGACGGGUGAGGAAUACAUCGGAAUCUACUUUUUCGUGGGGGAUAACGUAGGGAAACUUACGCUAAUACCGCACACGACCUACGGGUGAAAGCAGGGGAUCUUCGGACCUUGCGCGAUUGAAUGAGCCGAUGUCGGAUUAGCUAGUUGGCGGGGUAAAGGCCCACCAAGGCGACGAUCCGUAGCUGGUCUGAGAGGAUGAUCAGCCACACUGGAACUGAGACACGGUCCAGACUCCUACGGGAGGCAGCAGUGGGGAAUAUUGGACAAUGGGCGCAAGCCUGAUCCAGCCAUACCGCGUGGGUGAAGAAGGCCUUCGGGUUGUAAAGCCCUUUUGUUGGGAAAGAAAAGCAGCAGGUUAAUACCCCGCUGUUCUGACGGUACCCAAAGAAUAAGCACCGGCUAACUUCGU
rnacentral:rRNA from 1 species